rnacentral:lncRNA from 1 species
GAUUGGUCAUGACAUCAGGCUGGCUUCCAGAGGACAUGCAGCCCUCCUGGUGAAAGGCCUAACAUCGAGGUCCAGUAUGACGUGUGCCUUGACAUCUGGGGAAAAUGAUGAGGGCCUUGGAUGGCCUAUCAUAUUUCCUCUCCCAUGCUGCUCCCUCAGAUAAGCUCCCCCAGCCAAACAACCCUCCUUAUCAUGGGAUCACAGGAACCCAAGGUCACCCCACACUCUUUUUACUACAAAGCCUGCCUCCCACAGACCCGACGUGUUCACACGGUUCCUCAGUGCAGUCCUCACGGAGCCCUCCUCCCUGGAGCCAUGAGUGUAUGUGGCUAAUAAAGAGCUGUUGACCUCAACUGUCCAGUGCUGGGUAUCCUGUGUGGGCAUUUCCAUCACGCUAGAGCAGCAAUCCUUC